AUGGACCAGGGCCUCUCCUCCAGGUACCUCCCUCCUCCUCCCUCUCCUCCCUCCUCCCUCUCCUCCCUCCCUCCUCCCUCACUCCUCCUCCCUCUCUCCUCCCUCUCUCCUCCCUCUCCUCCCUCUCCUCCCUCCUCUCUCUCUCCUCCCUCUCUCCUCCUCUCUCCUCCCUCUCUCCUCCCUCUCUCCUCUCUCCUCCCUCUCUCCUCCUCUCUCCUCCCUCUCUCCUCCCUCUCUCCUCCUUCUCUCCUCCCUCCCUCCUCCCUCUCUCCUCUCUCUCUCCUCCCUCUCUCCUCCCUCUCUCCUCCCUCUCUCCUCCCUCCCUCCUCCCUCUCUCCUCCCUCUCUCCUCCUCUCUCCUCCCUCUCUCCUCCCCCUCUCCCUCUCCUCCCCCUCUCCCUCUCUCCUCCCUCUCUCCUCCCCCUCUCCCUAUCUCCUCCCUCUCUCCUCCUCCCUCUCUCCUCCUCUCUCCUCCUCUCCCUCUCUCCUCCCUCUCCUCCCUCUCUCCUCCCUCUCCCUCCCUCUCUCCUCCUCUCCCUCUCUCCUCCACUCUCCUCCCUCUCCCUCCCUCUCUCCUCCCUCUCUCCUCCCUCCCUCCUCCCUCUCUCCUCCUCCCUCUCUCCUCCCUCCCUCCUCCCUCUCCUCCCUCCCUCCUCCCUCUCCUCCCUCCCUCCUCCCUCUCCUCCCUCUCUCUCUCCUCCCUCCCUCCUCCCUCCCUCCUCCCUCUCUCCUCUCUCCUCCCUCUCUCCUCCUCUCCCUCUCUCCUCCUCCCUCUCUCCUCUCUCCUCUCCUCCUCCCUCUCUCCUCCCUCUCUCCUCUCUCUCCUCCUCUCCCUCUCUCCUCUCUCUCCUCCCUCUCUCCUCCUCUCUCUCUCCUCCUCCCUCCUCCCUCUCUCCUCCUUCUCUCCUCCCUCCCUCCUCCCUCUCUCCUCCCUCUCUCCUCCUCCCUCCUCCCUCUCUCCUCCUUCUCUCCUCCCUCCCUCCUCCCUCUCUCCUCCCUCUCUCCUCCUCUCCCUCUCUCCUGGAUCUUCUAA
rnacentral:lncRNA from 1 species